GACGAAAGAUUCUUUACGUCGAUUCAGGACGGAACACCGGUAAAGGCUUGACUAGUUAGUAUGACCAAAGAAACAGAUAUUGAAGAAGCAGACCCUGUUAUUGCUAAAUUAAAGAAAACAGGUUGCUUAGAAAAACAUUACGCUGUAUUGGAAUGCUGGGACAAGCAUAAAGACUGGAGGAAGUGUCAAGGAGAAGUCCAUGACUUUAGGAAUUGUAUGACCAUUUAUGACAAGAACAAAUCUGCAACAGAAUCCAAAUAAACGAAAGAAAUGGAGUGGCCCCAGUACAACUAUGC